UCAGCUGUCAUGAUGCCUUCUUAAGUUUUGAACAAGAGGGCGUCAUAACUGUUGACC
rnacentral:pre_miRNA from 1 species